rnacentral:rRNA from 1 species
GACGAGGGGUCCUAGCGUUGUUCGGAAUCAUUGGGCGUAAAGCGGGUGUAGGCGGCCUUAUAAGUCAGAAGAUGGAAAGCCCCGAGCCUUAACUCGGGAAGUGCUUUUGAUACUGCAAGGCGUUGAAUGUGGGAGAGGAUGGUGGAAUUCCUGGUGUAGUGGUGAAAAUACGUAGAUAUCAGGAGGAACACCCGUGGCGAAGGCGGCUCUCUGGAACGCAACUGACGCUGAGACGCGAAAGCGUGGGGAGCAAACAGG